rnacentral:tRNA from 1 species
GGAGAGAUGGCCGAGAGGAUUAAAGCGUCGGAUUGCUAAUCCGUUGUACAAAUUAUAUGUACCGAGGGUUCGAAUCCCUCUCUCUCCU